rnacentral:lncRNA from 1 species
ACUCGAAUAGGAUAGAAAGCAUUUUAAAAAAAAUAAAAUGAAAUAAAAAUAAAAACUCAACCUACAAUUCAAACUAAUUUAAAAUAAAAGAAAAUAAAAUAAAAAUUAAAGUUUAUCUAAAUCCUAAACUAAUUUAAAAUAAAAGAAAAUAAAAUAAAAAUUAAAGUUUAUCUAAAUCCUAAACUACUUUAAAAUAAAAGAAAAUAAAAAAAAAAACAAGUUUAUCCAAAUACCAGGACGUGACAUAUGCCUUUAUCCAAAUUGAAAAGGAAUUGAAUGCAUAUUCCUUCAAUCAUCAAUGACUGCUUACAACCUGCACCCAAUAUCAAG